rnacentral:rRNA from 1 species
GUGUCUGGUGGGUAGUUUGACUGGGGCGGUCUCCUCCUAAAGAGUAACGGAGGAGCACGAAGGUUGGCUAAUCCUGGUCGGACAUCAGGAGGUUAGUGCAAUGGCAUAAGCCAGCUUGACUGCGAGCGUGACGGCGCGAGCAGGUGCGAAAGCAGGUCAUAGUGAUCCGGUGGUUCUGAAUGGAAGGGCCAUCGCUCAACGGAUAAAAGGUACUCCGGGGAUAACAGGCUGAUACCGCCCAAGAGUUCAUAUCGACGGCGGUGUUUGGCACCUCGAUGUCGGCUCAUCACAUCCUGGGGCUGAAGUAGGUCCCAAGGGUAUGGCUGUUCGCCAUUUAAAGUGGUACGCGAGCUGGGUUUAGAACGUCGUGAGACAGUUCGGUCCCUAUCUGCCGUGGGCGCUGGAGAACUGAGGGGGGCUGCUCCUAGUACGAGAGGACCGGAGUGGACGCAUCACUGGUGUUCGGGUUGUCAUGCCAAUGGCACUGCCCGGUAGCUAAAUGCGGAAGAGAUAAGUGCUGAAAGCAUCUAAGCACGAAACUUGCCCCGAGAUGAGUUCUCCCUGACCCUUUAAGGGUCCUGAAGGAACGUUGAAGACGACGACGUUGAUAGGCCGGGUGUGUAAGCGCAGCGAUGCGUUGAGCUAACCGGUACUAAUGAA